rnacentral:rRNA from 1 species
UACGAAGGGUGCAAGCGUUACUCGGGAUUACUGGGCGUAAAGCGUGCGUAGGUGGUGAGUUAAGUCUGUCGUGAAAGCCCCGGGCUCAACCUGGGAAUGGCGAUGGAUACUGGCUCGCUAGAGUGCGGUAGAGGAGAGUGGAAUUCCCGGUGUAGCAGCGAAAUGCGUAGAGAUCGGGAGGAACAUCAGUUGCGAAGGCGGCUCUCUGGACCAGCACUGACACUGAGGCACGAAAGCGUGGGGAGCAAACAGG